CCUACGGGGUGCUGCAGUGGGGGAUAUUGCACAAUGGGGGCAACCCUGAUGCAGCGACGCCGCGUGAGCGAUGGAGUACUUCGGUAUGUAAAGCUCUGUCAGCAGGGAAGAGAAUGACGGUACCUGACCAAGAAGCCCCGGCUAAAUACGUGCCAGCAGCCGCGGUAAUACGUAUGGGGCAAGCGUUAUCCGGAUUUACUGGGUGUAAAGGGAGCGUAGGCGGCAGGGCAAGCCUGAUGUGAAAGCCCGUGGCUCAACCCCGGGACUGCAUUGGGAACUGCCCCGCUCGAGUGCCGGAGGGGCAGGCGGAAUUCCUAGUGUAGCGGUGAAAUGCGUAGAUAUUAGGAGGAACACCAGUGGCGAAGGCGGCCUGCUGGACGGUGUACUGACGCUGAGGCUCGAAAGCGUGGGGAGCAAACAGGAUUAGAUACCCCUGUAGUC
rnacentral:rRNA from 1 species